UUAAAAUGAGAGUUUGAUCCUGGCUCAGGACGAACGCUGGCGGCGUGCCUAAUACAUGCAAGUCGAACGAAACUUUCUUACACCGAAUGCUUGCAUUCACCGUAAGAAGUUGAGUGGCGGACGGGUGAGUAACACGUGGGUAACCUGCCUAAAAGAAGGGGAUAACACUUGGAAACAGGUGCUAAUACCGUAUAUCUCUAAGGAUCGCAUGAUCCUUAGAGAAAGAUGGUUCUGCUAUCGCUUUUAGAUGGACCCGCGGCGUAUUAACUAGUUGGUGGGGUAACGGCCUACCAAGGUGAUGAUACGUAGCCGAACUGAGAGGUUGAUCGGCCACAUUGGGACUGAGACACGGCCCAAACUCCUACGGGAGGCAGCAGUAGGGAAUCUUCCACAAUGGACGCAAGUCUGAUGGAGCAACGCCGCGUGAGUGAAGAAGGUCUUCGGAUCGUAAAACUCUGUUGUUAGAGAAGAACACGAGUGAGAGUAACUGUUCAUCGAUGACGGUAUCUAACCAGCAAGUCACGGCUAACUACGUGCCAGCAGCCGCGGUAAUACGUAGGUGGCAAGCGUUGUCCGGAUUUAUUGGGCGUAAAGGGAACGCAGGCGGUCUUUUAAGUCUGAUGUGAAAGCCUUCGGCUUAACCGGAGUAGUGCAUUGGAAACUGGAAGACUUGAGUGCAGAAGAGGAGAGUGGAACUCCAUGUGUAGCGGUGAAAUGCGUAGAUAUAUGGAAGAACACCAGUGGCGAAAGCGGCUCUCUGGUCUGUAACUGACGCUGAGGUUCGAAAGCGUGGGUAGCAAACAGGAUUAGAUACCCUGGUAGUCCACGCCGUAAACGAUGAAUGCUAGGUGUUGGAGGGUUUCCGCCCUUCAGUGCCGCAGCUAACGCAAUAAGCAUUCCGCCUGGGGAGUACGACCGCAAGGUUGAAACUCAAAGGAAUUGACGGGGGCCCGCACAAGCGGUGGAGCAUGUGGUUUAAUUCGAAGCAACGCGAAGAACCUUACCAGGUCUUGACAUCCUUUGACCACCUAAGAGAUUAGGCUUUCCCUUCGGGGACAAAGU
rnacentral:rRNA from 2 species